rnacentral:rRNA from 1 species
GACGAACGCUGGCGGCGUGCUUAACACAUGCAAGUCGAACGGUGAAGCGCCUUCCUUUUUGGUGGGUGUGGAUGAGUGGCGAACGGGUGAGUAACACGUGAGUAACCUGCCCCCUUCUUCUGGAUAACCGCAUGAAAGUGUGGCUAAUACGGGAUAUUCUGGGUCUGUCGCAUGAUGGGUCUGGGAAAGAUAUUGUUUCGGUGGGGGAUGGGCUCGCGGCCUAUCAGCUUGUUGGUGGGGUGAUGGCCUACCAAGGCGGUGACGGGUAGCCGGCCUGAGAGGGUGGACGGCCACACUGGGGCUGCGCCCCGGCCCAGCCUCCUACGGGAGGCAGCAGUGGGGAAUAUUGCACAAUGGGCGCAAGCCUGAUGCAGCGACGCCGCGUGAGGGAUGGAGGCCUUCGGGUUGUGAACCUCUUUCGCCAGUGAAGCAGGCCUGCCUCGUUUGUGGGUGGGUUGACGGUAGCUGGAUAAGAAGCGCCGGCUAACUACGUG